UCAGCAAUAGACCGUACCCUAAACCGACACAGGUGGAUUGGUAGAGAAUACCUAGGUGUUUGAGAGAACUGCUUUGAAGGAACUAGGCAAAUUACCCUCGUAACUUCGGGAUAAGAGGGCCUCUGAGAUGGGCAACCAUUCCAGAGGGGCACAGACCAGGGGGUUGCGACUGUUUACUAAAAACACAGGGCUCUGCGAAGUGGUCAACACGACGUAUAGGGUCUGACGCCUGCCCGGUGCCGGAAGGUUAAGAGGAGAUGUGCAAGCAUUGAAUCGAAGCCCCGGUAAACGGCGGCCGUAACAAUAACGGUCCUAAGGUAGCGAAAUUCCUUGUCGGGUAAGUUCCGACCUGCACGAGGGCGUAACGACUUCCCCACUGUCUCCAACGCAGACUCAGCGAAAUUGAAAUCUCCGUGAAGAUGCGGAGUUCCCGCGGUUAGACGGAAAGACCCCGUGCACCUUUACUGCAAUUUUUCACUGGUACUAGGGAAUGGAUGUGUAGAAUAGGUCGGAGGCUUUGAAGCUGCGGCGCUAGCCGUGGUGGAGCCAUCGUUGAAAUACGACCCUUUUGUUGUCUGGUAUCUAACCGCGUCCCAUUAGCUGGGAUCGGGACACUGAAUGAUGGGCAGUUUGACUGGGGCGGUCGCCUCCGAAAGAGUAACGGAGGCGCGCGAAGGUGGGCUCAAGCCGGUCGGAAAUCGGCUGUCGAGUGCAAGAGCAUAAGCCCGCUUGACUGCGAGACUGACAAGUCGAGCAGAGACGAAAGUCGGUUCUAGUGAUCCGGUGGUUCUGAGUGGAAGGGCCAUCGCUCAACGGAUAAAAGGUACGCCGGGGAUAACAGGCUGAUACCCCCCAAGAGUCCACAUCGACGGGGGUGUUUGGCACCUCGAUGUCGGCUCAUCACAUCCUGGGGCUGGAGCAGGUCCCAAGGGUAUGGCUGUUCGCCAUUUAAAGUGGUACGUGAGCUGGGUUUAGAACGUCGUGAGACAGUUCGGUCCCUAUCUGCCGUGGGUGUAGGAUACUUGAGAGGAUUUGUCCCUAGUACGAGAGGACCGGGAUGAACGUACCUCUGGUGUACCAGUUGUUCCGCCAGGAGCAUCGCUGGGUAGCUAUGUACGGACGGGAUAACCGCUGAAGGCAUCUAAGCGGGAAACCCACCUCAAAACCAGGUAUCCCUUGAGAACCGUGGUAGACCACCACGUUGAUAGGCUGGGUGUGGAAGCGCCGUGAGGUGUGAAGCUAACCAGUACUAAUUGUUC
rnacentral:rRNA from 1 species